AGAGUUUGAUUAUGGCUCAGGAUGAACGUUGGCGGCGUGCCUAAUACAUGCAAGUCGAACGAAGAAUUCAAUGUAGCAAUACGCUGAAUUUCUUAGUGGCGAACGGGUGAGUAACGCGUUGGUGACCUACCCCAAAGAGAGGGAUAACAGUUCGAAAGGAUUGCUAAUACCUCAUGUUAUCGUUUGGAUUAGAUGCCUUACGAUUAAAGGAGCUUGCUCCACUUUGGGAGGGGCCUGCGUACCAUCAGCUAGUUGGUAGGGUAAUGGCCUACCAAGGCUAUGACGGUUAGGGGACCUGAGAGGGUGGCCCCCCACAAUGGAACUGAAACACGGUCCAUACACCUACGGGUGGCAGCAGUAGGGAAUAUUGGUAAUGUGCGAAAGCGCGAACCAGCAACGCCGCGUGUGCGAAGAAGGCCUUCGGGUUGUAAAGCACUUUUCGGGAGGAAGAGGAAGGACUGUACUCCCGGAAUAAGUCUCGGCUAACUACGUGCCAGCAGCCGCGGUAAUACGUAGGAGGCUAACGUUAUCCGGAUUUACUGGGCGUAAAGCGCGUGUAGGCGGUUCGGUAAGUUGGACGUGAAAGCUCCCGGCUCAACUGGGAGAGGUCGUUCAAUACUGUCGGACUAGAGGAUGGUAGAGGGAGGUGGAAUUCCGGGUGUAGUGGUGAAAUGCGCAGAUAUCCGGAGGAACACCAGUGGCGAAGGCGGCCUCCUGGACCACUCCUGACGCUCAGACGCGAAAGCUAGGGUAGCGAACGGGAUUAGAUACCCUGGUAGUC
rnacentral:rRNA from 1 species